UCUCCAGCCAUUACCACCCUGAACAUGCCCAAUCUCGUGACCUUGGAAACUAAGCAGGGUCGGGCCUGAUUAAUACUUGGAUGGGAGUA
rnacentral:rRNA from 1 species